AUUGAACGCUGGCGGUAUGCUUAACACAUGCAAGUCGAACGGCAGCACAGCAGAGCUUGCUCUGUGGGUGGCGAGUGGCGGACGGGUGAGUAAUACAUCGGGACCUACCCAGACGUGGGGGAUAACGUAGGGAAACUUACGCUAAUACCGCAUACGUCCUACGGGAGAAAGCAGGGGAUCUUCGGACCUUGCGCGGUUGGACGGACCGAUGUUCGAUUAGCUUGUUGGUGAGGUAAUGGCUCACCAAGGCGACGAUCGAUAGCUGGUCUGAGAGGAUGAUCAGCCACACUGGGACUGAGACACGGCCCAGACUCCUACGGGAGGCAGCAGUGGGGAAUAUUGGACAAUGGGCGCAAGCCUGAUCCAGCAAUACCGCGUGUGUGAAGAAGGCCUUCGGGUUGUAAAGCACUUUUAUCAGGAACGAAACGCUGUCGGUUAAUACCCGGCGGAACUGACGGUACCUGAGGAAUAAGCACCGGCUAACUUCGUGCCAGCCGCCGCUGUAA
rnacentral:rRNA from 1 species